CAGGACGAACGCUGGCGGCGUGCCUAAUACAUGCAAGUCGAGCGGACCGACGGGAGCUUGCUCCCUUAGGUCAGCGGCGGACGGGUGAGUAACACGUGGGUAACCUGCCUGUAAGACUGGGAUAACUCCGGGAAACCGGGGCUAAUACCGGAUGCUUGAUUGAACCGCAUGGUUCAAUCAUAAAAGGUGGCUUUUAGCUACCACUURCAGAUGGACCCGCGGCGCAUUAGCUAGUUGGUGAGGUAACGGCUCACCAAGGCGACGAUGCGUAGCCGACCUGAGAGGGUGAUCGGCCACACUGGGACUGAGACACGGCCCAGACUCCUACGGGAGGCAGCAGUAGGGAAUCUUCCGCAAUGGACGAAAGUCUGACGGAGCAACGCCGCGUGAGUGAUGAAGGUUUUCGGAUCGUAAAACUCUGUUGUUAGGGAAGAACAAGUACCGUUCGAAUAGGGCGGYACCUUGACGGUACCUAACCAGAAAGCCACGGCUAACUACGU
rnacentral:rRNA from 1 species